rnacentral:rRNA from 1 species
AGAGUUUGAUCCUGGCUCAGGAUGAACGCUAGCGACAGGCCUAACACAUGCAAGUCGAGGGGCAGCGGGGAGGUAGCAAUACCUUUGCCGGCGACCGGCGCACGGGUGAGUAACACGUAUGCAAUCCACCUGUAACAGGGGGAUAACCCGGAGAAAUCCGGACUAAUACCCCAUAAUAUGGGCUCUCCGCAUGGAGGGUUCAUUAAAGAGAGCAAUUUUGGUUACAGACGAGCAUGCGCUCCAUUAGCCAGUUGGCGGGGUAACGGCCCACCAAAGCGACGAUGGAUAGGGGUUCUGAGAGGAAGGUCCCCCACAUUGGAACUGAGACACGGUCCAAACUCCUACGGGAGGCAGCAGUGAGGAAUAUUGGUCAAUGGGCGAGAGCCUGAACCAGCCAAGUCGCGUGAGGGAAGACGGCCCUACGGGUUGUAAACCUCUUUUGUCGGAGAGUAAAGUACGCUACGUGUAGCGUAUUGCAAGUAUCCGAAGAAAAAGCAUCGGCUAACUCCGUGCCAGCAGCCGCGGUAAUACGGAGGAUGCGAGCGUUAUCCGGAUUUAUUGGGUUUAAAGGGUGCGUAGGCGGCACGCCAAGUCAGCGGUGAAAUUUUCGGGCUCAACCCGGACUGUGCCGUUGAAACUGGCGAGCUAGAGUGCACAAGAGGCAGGCGGAAUGCGUGGUGUAGCGGUGAAAUGCAUAGAUAUCACGCAGAACUCCGAUUGCGAAGGCAGCAUACCGGCGCCCAACUGACGCUGAAGCACGAAAGCGUGGGUAUCGAACAGGAUUAGAUACCCUGGUAGUCCACGCA